rnacentral:tRNA from 1 species
GGUGAGCUGGCAGAACGGCUAUUGCACCGGUCUUGAAAACCGGCGUCCGCAAGGACUUGUAGGUUCGAAUCCUACGCUCACCG